UUGGUAUCUUAGUGGCGGACGGGUGAGUAACGCGUGGGUAACCUGCCUUACACUGGGGGAUAACACUUAGAAAUAGGUGCUAAUACCGCAUAACAGUAAGAGACGCAUGUCUUUUACUUGAAAAUUCCGGUGGUGUAAGAUGGACCCGCGUCUGAUUAGCUUGUUGGCGGGGUAACGGCCCACCAAGGCAACGAUCAGUAGCCGGCCUGAGAGGGUGAACGGCCACAUUGGGACUGAGACACGGCCCAAACUCCUACGGGAGGCAGCAG
rnacentral:rRNA from 1 species